rnacentral:lncRNA from 1 species
AAAUAUCUAUUUCAAUUCUGAAAAGCAUAAUUUAAAAAAUAUCUAAUCUUUUUUUCUCUGUUUUUGUUUGUGUUUAUUUAUUUCUAGAAAAGAAUAGCUAGCAUGAUGUAUUUCAAGUUUCUGGCAUGUCAUUUUCACUGAGACGUCUGAAGACCAGAAAGACUUUGCAGAAUUUCAAAACACUUAUUAGAUGGUUUUGAGACUAGCAGAUUAAUACACAUUUGGUUUUUCAAUGUACAGCCGUAAAUGGACAUGGAAUGACCAAAAAGCUGCAUUAAGCUUCAUGGAGACCAUUCAGUUUUCCACAGUAGUGUUUGGUGUAUACAGUAAAGAAGAUAGAGAGAAGGAGAGGAAGCUAGUGAGAGGGAGGGGGAGAAAAGAGGGACUUUACUGGGUUGCAUAAUGAUAGUCAAAAUAGUUUAAGGAAAGCAAAAUUUUAUAAUAAAUUAAUACAUUUAGCCUUUUUUAUUUCUCUUAAAAUUUUUGUUUGGACCCAGAAUAAAUUUUUAUUUAACUUAUAUUUCUCAGUGUUGACAUAAGGUACAAAUUCAUUAAAUUUUUACCUUUGCCAGAAUUACUCUUUUUACCUUUAUACACCAAUAAAAGGAUGAUAAAAUUUAAGUUUAAAGAGAUUACAUUUAGGCCAGGCACGGUGGCUCGUGCUUGUAAUCCCAGCACUUUGGGAGGCUGAGGCGGGCAGAUUACUUGAGGACAAGAGUUCAAGAUCAGCCUGGCCAACAUGGCGAAACCUCUCUCUACUAAAAAUUAGCUGGUGUUGGUGCACUUGCCUCUCGUCCCAGCUACUCGGGAGGCUGAGGCACGAGAAUGGUUUGAACUCAGGAGCCAGAGGUUACUGUGUGCUGAGAUUGUGCCACUGCAUUCCAGCCUGGGCAACAAAGUGACACUGUCUGAUAAAACAAACAAACAGACAGAAAGUUUACAUUUAAAUUUGUUUCUAUUUAUAACUCGUUCUCUUUAUUUUACCAAGUUCUAAAUAUAAUUUCUCUAAUUUAUUUGGGUAGAUAAGAUUAAUAAUUCAAGACUUGAUUCUAGAAAACAUAAUCAAAUUUGUUAAGUAACCUGAAUGUGGAUUUUGGUCACUCAAAUCUCUUUUCCUUAAUGUGUGUCAUAAAUGCAUAACAUGACAUUAUUACUAACAACUGUAAAAUACUCCACACAUCAUAAAGUUGAAUGUACAAUUCAUUGAAUUAGUAAAAAAUCCAUGUUAAUUUCAUAAAUGUUCCUAUAGACAACACACAUUUCACUAUAGAUGUGCAAGUACAUUAUCUUAUAUUGUUUGCUUGCUAACUAAUUAAAAUUAUUUUUUCUAUAAUAUUAUAGAAGAGGUUUAUGGCAAUAAUCAACCGGUCUCCUAAAUCUAUGGUUUCCUUGUUAUAUGUUUUGUGGAUAAAAUUGAUUGAAUAAAUGAUAUUUCUCAUAAUCAGUUAAAGGAUGGUAAAAUGCUUUUUCACAAUAUUUAUUCAAAAGUUGC